rnacentral:rRNA from 1 species
ACGCACGCUGGCGGCGUGCUUCACACAUGCAAGUCGCACGCUGAAGCUCAGCUUUUGUUGGGUGGAUGAGUGGCGAACGGGUGAGUAACACGUGAGUAACCUGCCUCCUUCUUUGGGAUAACGCCCGGAAACGGGUGCUAAUACUGGAUAUUCACUGGUCUUCGCAUGGGGGUUGGUGGAAAGGGUUUUUCUGGUGGGGGAUGGGCUCGCGGCCUAUCAGCUUGUUGGUGGGGUGAUGGCCUACCAAGGCUUUGACGGGUAGCCGGCCUGAGAGGGUGACCGGUCACAUUGGGACUGAGAUACGGCCCAGACUCCUACGGGAGGCAGCAGUGGGGAAUAUUGCACAAUGGGCGCAAGCCUGAUGCAGCGACGCCGCGUGAGGGAUGGAGGCCUUCGGGCUGUGAACCUCUUUCGCUCAUGGUCAAGCCGCAACAAUGGUUGUGGUGAGGGUAGUGGGUAAAGAAGCGCCGGCUAACUACGUG